UACGGAGGAGGCAAGCGUUAUCCGGAAUUAUUGGGCGUAAGCGUCCGCAGGUGGCACUUCAAGUCUGUCGUCAAAGACUGGGGCUCAACCCUCGAAUGCCGGUGGAUGACUGUCGGGCUAGAGUGCGGAAGAGGCGAGUGGAAUUCCUGGUGUAGCGGUGAAAUGCGCAGAUAUCAGGAGGAACACCUAUUGCGAAAGCAGCUCGCUGGGACGUAACUGACGCUAAGACGCGAAAGCGUGGGGAGCAAACAGG
rnacentral:rRNA from 1 species